CACCUCUAGCAUUACUAGUAUUAGAGGCACUGCCUGCCCAGUGACACACGUUUAACGGCCGCGGUACCCUGACCGUGCAAAGGUAGCAUAAUCACUUGUUCUUUAAAUGGGGACUCGCAUGAAAGGCACCACGAGGGUUUAACUGUCUCUUACUUUUAACCAGUGAAAUUGACCUGCCCGCGAAGAGGCGGACAUAGUAUAAUAAGACGAGAAGACCCUAUGGAGCUUUAAUCUAUUAAUGCAAUCAAAAAUUACACAAACCCACGGACCUUUAAACUAUCGACACCUGCAUUAAAAAUUUUGGUUGGGGCGACCUCGGAGCACAACAAAACCUCCGAAUAACACAUGCUAAGACCACACAAGUCAAAGCGAACUAACACUUAUAAUUGAUCCAAUAACUUGAUCAACGGAACAAGUUACCCUAGGGAUAACAGCGCAAUUCUAUUCUAGAGUCCAUAUCGACAAUAGAGCUUACGACCUCGAUGUUGGAUCAGGACAUCCUAAUGGUGCAGCAGCUAUCAAGGGUUCGUUUGUUCAACGAUUAAAGUCCU
rnacentral:rRNA from 1 species